rnacentral:tRNA from 1 species
GCCAGAAUAGCUCAGUGGCAGAGCAGCUCACUCGUAAUGAGCAGGUCGUGGGUUCAAAUCCCACUUCUGGCU